UCCCGAUGGGGUCUGAGCUGACUACAACUGUCGAGAUUUUGGAUUCCUUUUUGAGCAAGUUAAUUGAAGAUGCCGUGUCCAAGCAAGCGGUCCAGGGCGGCCAAGAAGAGACAGGCUGACUUGAGGUCUACUGAGGUGCCGAGCAAGAGGUCCCCGGUGGCGCAGGUUGACUUGGUCUCCUGUGACGAGGUUGGGCGUCCUCGUAAAAAAGCCCACACACAGUCUUCGGACGCUAUACAGUCUUCGGACUGCCAGUUACAAUGCCAGUUACAAUGCCAGUUACAAUGCCAGUUACAGUCUUCGGACGCAAUACAAGCAAACUCUACCAACUCUCAAACAAACUCUACCAACUCUCUGAAUAUGUGCCAUGACUCUGUUGUAAACUCAUUGUCAAGUAAUGUGAAAGAAAAUAAUGCUACUGAUUGUUGUUCUUUGAAUGAAUCUGUUGACUUCCCAGAGAGAUCUGUGCUGAUGGGGUCCUUUCAUCAAGGCGAUUCACGGUUUGGAAAUGUGCGCAACAAGCAGUGUGGUGCCAUCAGUUUGACUGCUGUUUUGAAGUCCAAGAUGAAGAACGUGUGGCGUUGGGAAACUCGAGAUCUUGAUGAUGUUUUGAUUAAGGGAACUGUUCUUUACAGGUCAAUGAGUGCACAGGGUAAAAUAAGAGACCAAGGAAGGGGUUACAUUGCUGUGUCUGAAUUGCCUAGACAAUAUGAAGUGUGGAAUUGUGAUUUCUCAAUAAACUUUGCUGAUUCUUA